GAUAUAUUCUGGUUGAUCCUGCCAGUUGUCACAUGCUUGUCUCAAAGAUUAAGCCAUGCAUGUCCAAGUACACACUGUUGCACAGUGAAACCGCGAAUGGCUCAUUAAAUCAGUUAUGGUUUAUUGGAUCGUGCUUACCUAUGUGGAUAACUGUGGUAAUUCUAGAGCUAAUACAUGCAACUGGCCCUGACUUUACGGAGGGGCGCUUUUAUUAGAUCAAAAUCAAUCAGGCUUGUCCUGUUAUCGUGAUGACUCUGGAUAACUUUGUGCCGACCGCAUGGCCUUGAGCCGGCGGCGUAUCUUUCAAAUGUCUGCCCUAUCAACUUUCGAUGGUAGGUGACAUGCCUACCAUGGUUGUAACGGGUAACGGAGAAUCAGGGUUCGAUUCCGGAGAGGGAGCCUGAGAAACGGCUACCACAUCCAAGGAAGGCAGCAGGCGCGCAAAUUACCCACUCCCGGCACGGGGAGGUAGUGACGAAAAAUAACGAUGCUGGGUUUUCAACUCGGCAAUCGGAAUGAGUACACUUUAAAUCCUUUAACGAGGAUCUAAUGGAGGGCAAGUCUGGUGCCAGCAGCCGCGGUAAUUCCAGCUCCAUGAGCAUGUACGUAAGUUGUUGCAGUUAAAAAGCUCGUAGUUGGAUCUCAGGCCGUGGUCAAUGGUCUGUCCGAUAAGGAUGUGCACUGUUGUACCUGGUCUACAUCUGGUUCAACGUUCGUAGUGCCCUUAACCGGGUGCUGCGGAACGCCA
rnacentral:rRNA from 1 species